UCCCUGGAGGACUAGUGGUUAGGCCUUGGCGCUCUCAUCGCAGCAGCCCCGGUUCAAUUCCCAGUCAGGGAA
rnacentral:tRNA from 1 species